rnacentral:misc_RNA from 1 species
AUGAGAUCUCGUAUUAGUGCUGAUAUGAUGGCACCCAAUCUCAUAUUGAUGUAAAACUCGAUUUUCCUCCUAUAAUUAGGUCUCACAAUGAGGACUCUUCAUCAUGUUCAGAAGCUAGUUCUUCCUCUUCUUCUAAAGAAUCAAUACCAAGAACAGCAUGGCCAUUACCAAAGGCCUUGAUGUGGUCUUUCAGAGACCUCUUGUGCUUAAAGUCAGACCCACAAAUACAAUACCAGAUUUUGCCACAAUUCUUUUCAUGGGUUCUCCAAUCACCUUUAACAGCAAAUGGCUUGCCACAUUUUCUGCACAUAAAGGGUUUGAUUCCAUGCUUUCUCUUGUAAUGAGUUUGGAGUGUUCUAAAGUCUUUGAGUGGUCUUGCUCUUGGGUGAUCAAUAUUGUGCUUGCACCCUGGUGCACAGCAAAAGCAUGGGAGUCUCAGCAUUCCUGUUGGUUGGGUUCCUCUUAAUGAGUCAGGUCCUUUUCUGUAUUGAGAUCCAUGUCCCCACAUAUGCAU